rfam:Salmo salar isolate Sally breed double haploid chromosome ssa27, whole genome shotgun sequence.
UGAAUGCACUUACUGUAAGUUGCUUUGGAUAAAAGCGUCUGCUAAAUGACUAAAA